rnacentral:rRNA from 1 species
ACGGAGGGUGCGAGCGUUGUCCGGAAUCACUGGGCGUAAAGGGCGCGUAGGUGGCCCGUUAAGUGGCUGGUGAAAUCCCGCGGCUCAACUGCGGGGCUGCCGGUCAUACUGGCGAGCUAGAGCACGGUAGGGGCAGAUGGAAUUCCCGGUGUAGCGGUGGAAUGCGUAGAGAUCGGGAAGAAUACCAGUGGCGAAGGCGUUCUGCUGGGCCGUUGCUGACACUGAGGCGCGACAGCGUGGGGAGCAAACAGGA